ACAUGCCUACAACAUAGAGUUAAUGCACUGGAUCCCAUUAGAACUCUAUAGUUAAGCACGCUCAGGCUAGAGUAGUACUAGGAUGGGUGAUCGUCCGGGAAGUCCUAAUGUUUUACAUGUC
rfam:Picea glauca, whole genome shotgun sequence.